GACCUUUGAUGCAAUCCGCUUGGUCAAGGAAGUUGAUUGCCUAGGUCGCGGCUCGGUUUGUGCAUAUUGCCAAUACUUGAAUAGACUUCGGUUGAAAGAAAAAUGCACAAU
rnacentral:sRNA from 12 species